UAACUUUUGUCUGCCCUGUACUCCCACCUUUAAUGCUGCAUUACUAUUCCUCAUUGCCUUUUUUUGUAUGAUCUUUCACAGCAGAUCAGAAGAGCAAACG